UGGGGAAUAUUGCACAAUGGGGGAAACCCUGAUGCAGCGACGCCGCGUGAACGAAGAAGGUAUUCGUAUCGUAAAGUUCUGUCCUAUGGGAAGAUAAUGACAGUACCAUAGAAGAAAGCUCCGGCUAAAUACGUGCCAGCAGCCGCGGUAAUACGUAUGGAGCGAGCGUUGUCCGGAAUUAUUGGGCGUAACGGGUUCGGAGGCGGUUUAAUAAGUCGAAUGUUAAAGAUCGGGGCUCAACCCCGUAAAGCAUUGGAAACUGAGAAACUUGAGUAGUGGAGAGGAAAGGGGAAUUCCUAGUGUAGUGGUGAAAUACGUAGAUAUUAGGAGGAAUACCAGUAGCGAAGGCGACUUUCUGGACACAAACUGACGAUGAGGUACGAAAGCGUGGGGAGCAAACAGG
rnacentral:rRNA from 1 species